rnacentral:rRNA from 1 species
AUGGAGCUGGAGCUGCCCAAUGGCCCGGUGAAGCGAGAAAUGGUUGUGCAUGAAGCAGCCGUCCGAGGAGGAGGAGGAGGAGGACAUGGCGGCGACAUGAGGAUGAGGAUGGAUGUUACCGUGAGGAUCAACGCCGACAUGUUUCACUGCCCCAUCUGCUUCCGCCCCUUCAAGCCUCCCGUCUUCCAGUGCGAAGGCGGGCACUUGGCUUGCGGCAGCUGCGUCGUGGAGCUCCCCUGGCAACAGUGCGGCAAAUGCGAGCACGGCGGCGACUUCCACGCCUGCCCCUUGCUCGACACCUUCGUCUCCUCGGCCAGCGUCCAGUGCGACCACCACGGCUGCGGGCGCUACGUCACCUACCACGAGGCCGGCCAGCACCGGAGCGCGUGCCCGCACGCGCCCUGCUCCUGCGCGCUGCCCGGCUGCGGCUUCCUCGGCCCGCCGCCGGCGCUCCUCCUUCACCUCAACGCGCUGCACUCAGUGCCCGUGCACGACGUCCCGUACAGCAAAGCGCUCCUGCUGCAGGUACAGGCGUCGCCGGAGCCGCGGCACCUUCUUCGCGGGGAGGAGGACGGCCGCGCGUUCCUCCUGGUCACCGGCGCGCACGGUCCGGGAGCCGCGGUCACGGUGUCUGUCGUGUGCAUCAGAGCGGCCGCGUCCCCGUCGCCGCGCUACUCGGUCAAGCUGUGGGCCAACGGGCCACCGCCGCCGGCCAACCGCAAGAUGGACACCAUCUGGGCGGACUUUGAGGCGACGAGCAGCACGUCGCCGGGCACCGUCGCCCUGGAGGAGCUGACGUCUUUCUUGACGGUACCACCGCGGUAUCUACAUGGGGCUGGGGCGUCCAAGGAGUUGCCUCUCCACGUUCGCAUCGACAAGAUCACCUCCUGA